GUGGCAGGCUGUAGACCCGCUGUGCUGAACUUUAUCAGUCAUCUUGUUGAUGGAACACGAGCUAGAGAGGCCGUGUGGCUGACCGUCGCCGUGUCCUUAUUGAUACCUCAUCUUGGCUAGGUUUGAUUUGCUGAUUAAGAAGUUGGAUUGGAUUGCUGGAUCGCAUCCUUGGAUUCUCUCCGGACGGAGAUGGCGAGCCUAUGCCCAGAGCAGAACUGAACAUUGGUCGAGGAGUCCCCUUCUUCUCUUCUGUGUUAACAUCUACGUGGUAACAAUACAAACCACUGACUGAAAAAAGGAGCUGAACUUGAAAGACAAACAUAUUUUGACUUGACUAACGACCAAAAGGACAAAGCUGAAAUACUGAGCUCAGUAAGACUGUGUUUUGAUUUUGAUAUGCCGG